CGGACGGGUGAGUAACGCGUGGAUAACCUGCCGCAUACCGGGGGAUAACAGCUGGAAACAGCUGCUAAUACCGCAUAUGCCCGCAGUGCCGCAUGGCACAGCGGGGAAAACUCCGGUGGUAUGCGAUGGGUCCGCGUCUGAUUAGGCAGUUGGCGGGGUAACGGCCCACCAAACCGACGAUCAGUAGCCGGCCUGAGAGGGCGGACGGCCACACUGGGACUGAGACACGGCCCAGACUCCUACGGAAGGCAGCAG
rnacentral:rRNA from 1 species